rnacentral:lncRNA from 1 species
UUGAACGUGUGCAGCAAUCAUAACAAGCAACUUUAGUUCACAAAAAUUCCAGAAACUGCAACUGAGUUGACACCUCACAGUAAUAGUCUAAUUAAGAAUACAGGCAUACAACCAAGCGCCCAAGCCAACACGACAAUAGUACCCAUGACUUCACUUGCGAACAGUAACAGGCGAAUAGGAAGUACCCCAGUACCCCACACAGACAAGAACAUGCGAACAGGAACAGACAACACCCAUGACUAAUACAGAGCCAACAGGUUAAGGCAGCACCAGACAACAAGGCGCUAGCAACACUUCACUUGCACAAGCGCCAGCAACACUUCACUUGCACAGCAGCUUCACACUUAAAUACUUGAUCUUGUCACUUGAUAGACAACACCACACACCACUUGGCCACCAGACAACAAAGCAAAGAAAUUAAGAAAAUAUAAGUAUUUAGUAGUUAAUCAAAGUAAAGAAAAUGAUACUAAAAAUAAUUAUUACCUUGGUUCGACAUCAAGCCAUCAACUUCAAAAUCUAUCAACUUAU